GUGGGGAAUAUUGGGCAAUGGGCGAAAGCCUGACCCAGCAACGCCGCGUGAGGGAAGAAGGCCUUCGGGUUGUAAACCUCUGUCCUUGGUGACGAAAAAAAUGACGGUAGCCAAGGAGGAAGCCCCGGCUAACUACGUGCCAGCAGCCGCGGUAAUACGUAGGGGGCGAGCGUUGUCCGGAAUUACUGGGCGUAAAGGGUGCGUAGGUGGCCUUUUAAGUUGGAUGUGAAAUACCCGGGCUUAACUUGGGGGGUGCAUCUAAUACUGGAGGGCUAGAGUGCAGGAGAGGGAAGCGGAAUUCCUAGUGUAGCGGUGAAAUGCGUAGAUAUUAGGAGGAACACCAGUGGCGAAGGCGGCUUUCUGGACUGUAACUGACACUGAGGCACGAAAGCGUGGGGAGCAAACAGGAUUAGAAACCCCGGUAGUCC
rnacentral:rRNA from 1 species